rnacentral:rRNA from 1 species
GUGCCAGCAGCCGCGGUAAUACGUAGGGUGCAAGCAUUAAUCGGAGUUAUUGGGCGUAAAGGGCGCGUAGGCGGUUUUGUAAGUCUCGAUGUGAAAUUCCUGGGCUCAACCUAGGAGCUGCAUGGGAAACUACAAAACUCGAGGAUGGACGGAGAGAACGGAAUUCCACAAGUAGCGGUGAAAUGCGUAGAUAUGUGGAAGAACACCUGUGGCGAAGGCGGUUCUCUAGUUUAUUCCUGACGCUGAGGCGCGAAAGCAAGGGGAGCAAACAGGAUUAGAUACCCUGGUAGUCC